AUUCAGUUGACGAUUCUCAAAUAAGAAGAAACACGCGUCAUGAAU
rnacentral:hammerhead_ribozyme from 1 species